rnacentral:lncRNA from 1 species
UGUGUUUUAUUCUUUUUUUUAUUAUUUUUUUUACAGAGUGAAGAUCUUUCUGUUACUGGAUCUCAGCACCAUCAGCUGGGAUUGCUUAAAGAGAUGCCAUGGCUCUGGGAACGGGGUGUGUGCGCCAAAAAAGCACCAAGGAGGAACUGGAGCCUUGGCAGGACCGGGAGGGUGCCCAGAGAAGCUCUGCAAGCAGAAUGAGUGCCUUCACCCCUCUGUCAUCACCAGCCCCUGAGAGCAAUCACCACCCACCAACAGUUCCUGGAGAUAAGGCCGAGCCAGCUGGGAGAAGAAAGCCUUUGAUAUUCCCUGCCUUGCUGACUGCGUUUCUCACAGCUCACGUCUGGAGUGGGCCAGGGGAGGUGGCUGGACACGAAAGAAUAACACUGAUGGGGGAUGCAGGGAAGGUGUUAAUCUUCUGCCAUGUGUGUAGCCCAAAUUACUCAGAAGGAGGAAAAAGCGAUUUGCCUGUAAGCAGAAAUAGAGACGAGGAAAUGUUUCACUCUGGAUGCAGUGAGAAGUGUGGCACUGAAGCAGUUCUGGAACAGGCAGUGUGGACACAAGAAGAGGUUUUUUUCCCAGGCCUGAGCACCUUGCAUUUCUCACAACACAAAUAUGGCAUUGCUGCUUCUGGGACCGGGGCCAGCUCAUUGCAAUGCAGCACUCCAGAGGGAGACAAGGCAAUUUGCCACGACACCUUUUCCAUCUUGCUGCAGUUACAGAUGGCCAACAUUUGUGUCUUAAACAUUUAUCCUGCAAAAUAGAGACUUCUGUACAAAAAGUAUUUGGUGCACCAAAAUAUUUCCCUUAAAUUUAAAUUUUUGUCUUGUUUCGAUCUUCAGAAAACAUUUUGAAAUUUCAGAUGUUCUUUUUUCUCCUUUUUGUCACCUUUCUACUGUCACACACUCUGUUUUCUGAACACAGUAGAUAUUUGCCAAAGCUGAAGGAUUUGGGGGGGUGGGGGGCAUUUUCUCCCUUUUUUUCCCACUUAUUUUAUUAUUUUUCCAAUUAUUUAAGGCUUUACCUAUAUUGUUAAUGUAGUGCAUUAAAAGUUUGGCUAGGACAGGAUCUCAGCCUCCUAUCACACCUCACAAUGAAAUAAGUACAAGAUAAAAGGUUAUAUUAGAAUCAUCUUUUUUUCUCUUCUACCUGAAGUUUGUACCAAAUAGAUGUAAAAAUAGAUAAGCAUUUCUUAAUUUUUGACAUUGAGCUUUUUCAUGCAGUCAGUGGCAGAUGGAAACUAUUACUGGGAAAGAAAUAGAAGUGAAAAAUUUUAUAAAUGUUUUGGGUGAAGGAAUACAAUUUGUCUCAAUUUGAGCUCUGAAAUAUAAACAACUUCAAAAUUAAAUGAGUAUUUAGAAAACUCCACUUACUGUCUCUGUGCCUUGUACAUACAAGUUGAUGGAAGGGUCUAGAUGGGCUUUGGCUGAAAAGCAGCACUUCAAGUUCACACCAAGAAACCUCCUCUCUCCACACUGGGGUUGCAUCCCAAAAUCAGACCAAAACCAGGAGCUUUCAAACUCCUGGUGAGCUGGAAUUUCUGAGAAUAUUUUCUUAUGAAUAGAGCAGAACAUGUUGCUCCUAAAACAAAUCCUGUCUGCUCAGAG